UGUGUGUGUGUGCCAAAGUUCUUAAUAAGACACGGGUAGAAAAGAAAAAGAAAAAAAAAACAUUCAUGGAAAAUAGAAUGAAAAGAAGAAAAGUUGUGAAAAAGAGCCCUAAGUGUUGCAGGAAUCUUCCCUUUGUAUUUAAAAGUUGAUUCGACAUUCUAAAGUGAAUUCCAAAGUGUCUAUUUCAUUGCUUUGCUUGCUAUCGCUUUAAGAACAUUUGUUAUUCAUAUCCUUUCUUUAUUAGCCAAUACCCCAAGCCCCGUUACAACCCUUGACUUCUAUCUUGAGUUUUAUGUGUUUCAAUUUGUGCUUUUAAGUAUUUUGAACCAAGUUGAAACCAAAAUUCUUCCAAAAGUGUGUUAGAGUCCAAAUCUGCCCCGUUUGUGUUUUUGGGCAGAUUUGAGCAUUUUUAGCUUGUUUUGAGUCCUUUGAGUUUGUUUUAAGUUCUUUGAGUCUAGUUUAGUGUUUUUAACUUUGUUCAUAUGUUUUUAAGUCAGUUUAGAAGUUUUAGCAAGCCCUUCUAAUCCCCGGUUUAGAACGAUCCCUACUUGCAUUUAUACUACAAUUUGACAACAAAAGGAUUUAAUUUGUGUGUUAAGUUAAUUUUCGCAUCAAUAGGCUAGCUAGGAGGUUCUUCUCCACACAUGACACACUUGCAAACAAAACGAUUUCCAGUUGCUUUUCAAUAAACCAUGAAUUCUCAACGCCCUAGAUUAACCGUGAAUUGCACUAAUUAACCCUCAGAUUUUCCUAAUUUUAUUGAAUUGGAUGAUUGCAUACAACAACCCAAAGCAUUCCCCACAAGUUCCUACAUGAAUUGCAUAAUAGAGAUACAAGCAAAGAUCAUUAAGUUCUAUGAAAAUCAUAAGCAUUGACAAGGCACUUGUAACUAUGAAUUGCAUGAAACUUAUGCCAAGAAUUUACUUAACGCGAUUGUGACUAACAACCUUCACUACUUGUGAAUAUAAGUUCAUAACGAUUAGGUGAAACUCCCUUAUAUCCUAGCAUCAGAUUUAUGCAUAUUUAUUAAGCGUGCACUCUCAACCAACACACACAAAUCAGUUUUAAUUCAAAUGGAUAAGUAUAUUGAAUUCACAACUUAUGAAUCACAACUGAAAGUAAUCAAAUCAUAUUGCAAGCAUGAACAUGGUUUCGAAUUCCCCCCUAGCUAAGAGGGGUUUAGUUCCUCAUACUCACAAAGUAAAGAUAAACAAAUUUAGACAUUGAAAACAAAAGAAAGAAAACACCUAGACACUCUAGCGAUCCAAACUGAACAGCAAGCACAUCUACGAACUUCCCUCCUUCCUCUUUGUUGCAGCACAAGGUUUAGGGUCAGGUUUUGGGGGUUAAGGCUAGGAUAGGUGUAUGGUGUGGCAAGGGGUGUUUUAGGUCAGAAACUAUGGAGAAUGGUGAGGGAUGGCUGCGGCAAAGAGGGAAGAAUAAUUUCUGGCGUGAAUGGGUGAAUAUGGGGGGUCUAUCUACGGCAAGAAUGAAAUAUGAGUAUAUAUAGGCACAUAAAACCCUAGGGAAAUCAGGUUAGGACUUGGACUUAGCAGAAAAUAAGGAUUAGGGCCCAAACAAUCAAAAUCCAAAGGGGAAAAGGCUUAAAAGGUGCGGCAGAUAUGUAGGAAAGGGAUUGGGCUUCUAGAAUGCCUUGCAAGGCAAGGAAAAGGGUUUCUAGAAGGGCUUAGGUGCGGCAAAGGAAGGAUAAGUGUCCAAAACCUCUACUUUGUGUCCAAAAAUGCUUAGGAAGCCUUCAAUGUUGCUAGAACUUAAGGCCAUGUAGGUUUAGGAAAGAUCAAACCAAAAUAAGAAACUUAGGGUUAACUUUCUUACUUCAAGUAGGAAUCCUUGUUUGAAUGGGAAUCUUCAUUCUUCUAGGAAUCCAUCUACAACUAGGAAUCUUACGUUGAUUAAGAAUCCUUCGUUGAUUAGGAAUCCUUCUUCAAUUAAGACUCCUCACAUCUUCAAAUCUUCAAUUUCGUCCAUUCCUUUCACUCCAAGCAUGUGAUAUCCAAUCCAAGCUCAAUUUUGCUCCAAAAGGCUCCAAAAUACACUUCUUUGCAUACUUUGCCCUUAAAAC
rnacentral:lncRNA from 1 species